rnacentral:rRNA from 1 species
CAAGUCGAACGAGAAAGUGGAGCAAUCCAUGAGUACAGUGGCGUACGGGUGAGUAACACGUGGGUAAUCUACCUUUUAGUGGGGAAUAACCAGGGGAAACUCUGGCUAAUACCGCAUAAGCCUGAGAAGGGAAAGCAGCAAUGCGCUGAAAGAGGAGCCCGCGGCCGAUUAGCUAGUUGGUGGGGUAAGAGCCCACCAAGGCAGAGAUCGGUAGCCGGCCUGAGAGGGCACACGGCCACACUGGCACUGAAACACGGGCCAGACUCCUACGGGAGGCAGCAGUGGGGAAUCUUGCACAAUGGGGGAAACCCUGAUGCAGCGACGCCGCGUGAGCGAUGAAGCCCUUCGGGGUGUAAAGCUCUUUCGUCAGGGACGAUAAUGACGGUACCUGGAGAAGCAGCUGCGGCUAACUACGUGCCAGCAGCCGCGGUAAUACGUAGGCAGCAAGCGUUGUUCGGAGUUACUGGGCGUAAAGGGUGUGUAGGCGGUUCUUUAAGUUUGGUGUGAAAUCUCCCGGCUCAACUGGGAGGGUGCGCCGAAUACUGAGGGACUAGAGUACGGGAGAGGAAAGUGGAAUUCCUGGUGUAGCGGUGAAAUGCGUAGAUAUCAGGAGGAACACCGGUGGUGUAGACGGCUUUCUGGACCGUAACUGACGCUGAGACACGAAAGCGUGGGUAGCAAACAGGAUUAGAUACCCUGGUAGUCCACGCCCUAAACGAUGCAUAUUUGGUGUGGGCAGUUCAUUCUGUCCGUGCCGGAGCUAACGCGUUAAAUAUGCCGCCUGGGGAGUACAGUCGCAAGGCUGAAACUCAAAGGAAUUGACGGGGGCCCGCACAAGCGGUGGAGCAUGUGGUUCAAUUCGACGCAACGCGAAGAACCUU